rfam:Oryza barthii chromosome 4, whole genome shotgun sequence.
AAUAAGUAUAGUUUUACAUUGUUUAUGUCCAACAUUUGACCCUCCGUCUUAUUUAAAAAUUUCUUAUGAUUAAUAUUUUUUUCUUAUUAGAUGAUAAAAUAUAAAUAGUAAAUUAUGUGUGACUAUUUGUUUUUUACUUUUUUCAUAAAUUUUUUAAACAAAACGGGCGGUCAAAUGUUAGGUACUAACAGAUCCGUUGCCA